rnacentral:tRNA from 1 species
AAUGAAGUGCCUGAUUAAAGGGCUAUUUUGAUAGAAUAGAUAAAGUAAAAGUUUACCUUCAUUA